UAACUGGCCCUACUUCAUUACCUGAUAAUGGAUCUGAAUUAUUCAUUGCUAUAUUUGUUGGCAUUCAUGGACGCAUGGCUAUAUAGACACUGGCCGAACGAGAGAUGAAAUUUUCAUUUGUCAAAUCAUUUUGUACGUGUAAUUUGUGGAGAGCUUCUGGAAAUCUACAAAUUCAAUUGAUGGAUUGAGAGAUAUAGAAGGUCCACGAGUUGUGAACUUCUUUUCCCAGAGAAGAAGCAAUGACGGUAUCCGGGGAAUAAGAAUCGGCUAACUCUGUGCCAGUAGCCGCAAUAAGACAGGAUACAAGCGGGGAUCAACCCUAGACAGGCGGUGGAAACUACCAAGGUGGAGUACGGUAGGGGCAGAGGGAAUUUCCAGUGGAGUGGUGAAAUCCGUAGAGAUCGGAAAGAACACCAACAGCGAAAACACUCUGCUGGGCCGACACUGACACUGAGAGACGAAAGCUAGGGGAGUGAAUGGGAUUAGAUACCCCAGUAGUCCUAGCCGUAAACAAUGGAUACUAGGCGCUGCACGUAUUGACCCGUGCAAUGCUGUAGCUAACACAUUAAGUAUCCCACCUGGGGAGUACAUUCGCAAGAAUGAAACUCAAAGGAAUUGAUGGGGGCCUGAAACUCAAAGGAAUUGAUGGGGGACGCACAAGCGGUGGGUCAUGUGGUUUAAUUCAAUGCAAAGCAAAGAACCUUACAAGGGCUUAACAUGCCACGAAUCCUCUUGAAAGAGAGGGGUGCCUUCGGGAACGCGGACACAGUUGGUGCAUGGAUGUCAUCAGCUCGUGUCGUAAGGUGUUGGGUUAAGUCCCGCAACAAGCGCAACCCUCGUGCUUAUUUGCCAACAUGAAGUUUGGAACCCUGAGCAGACUGCGGGUGAUAAGCCGGAGGAAGGUGAGAAUGACGUCAAGUCAUCAUGCCCGUUAUGCCCUAGGCGACACACAUGCUACAAUGGCCAAGAUAAAGGAUCGCGAUCUCGCCAGGGUGAGCUAACUCCAAAAAUCCGUCCUCAUUUCGGAUUGUAGGCUACAACUUGCUUGCAUGAAGCCGGAAUCGCUAGUAAUCAUCAGUCAGCCAUACGGCGGUGAAUUCGUUCCCAGGCCUUGUACACACCGCCCGUCACACUAUAUAUGGGAGCUGGCCAUGCCCGAAGUUGUUACCUUAACUGCAAAGAGGGGAUGUCGAAGGCAGGGCUAGUGACUGGAGUGAAGUCAUAACAAGGUAGUCGUACUAGAAGGUGCGACUG
rnacentral:rRNA from 1 species